rnacentral:lncRNA from 1 species
UUUAGGCUGUGUUUGGUACAAUGGAUAGAUGAAGGAAAGAAAGCAUAGAGAAUGGAAAGUUUAUGGAAAAACGUGUUUCCAUGGUUUGGUUGCUUUGACAAUGAGGAAAGAAAGUUUAAUUUGGGUGGGCUCCACUAUCAAAUACUUUCCCUACAAGAUUGCAAAGAAAGCUGGAUUAGGCUACUAAAAUUUUAAAAUUAUAGAAUUGCCCUUGCUUUGAACUUUGAAGCAUAUUUUAUCAUUUACAAUGUCACGUCAUAUGUUUAGUUAUAUUUCCUUCAAUUAAUUUGCUUCUCAU